AAAAGUUGCCUAGAUGAAGCAGAAGAGAGAGCUCUCCUCCCAUCUUUUAAUGGAUGUCUUCGUGAAAUAAAAAUUCCAGUUUUCUCUCACACACUCUCUCUCUUGAUUGAUUGAUGGUGGAGGUCUGUCUCUUCGGUUGCAAAGAAAAGAGGGAGAUUUCAAGAGCAGAUGGUAAAAGCUUUACGAGCAAAUCCCAAGUUUUCCUCUCCAUUUCUAAGCCCCGGUUUCUCUCCUCCAUAUCUGACUCAAGACAUUAAAAUUUUUUCUCAAACUGUAACUCUCUCUCCUCCAUGUUUGUGAGGAUCACUGUUGCCGACGCCGACUUUGUCACUACUGCCGAAGGAAAGCUAGGUUGGAUCUAAAUGUACCUUAGCCACUGUUUCACUCUUAGGUUCUCAGAUAUCUCAGUCUGAAAUUAUCUCCAUGUUUGAUCCCAUAGCUGAAGAAAAAAAAAGAUUGGUGUGUGAUAAAUGAGAAAUUUUUUCAUGAUGAUUAUGGGUUGUUUUUUUUAUUUUAUUAUAUUUUUUUAUGAGUACGAACUUCGGUU